CCUACGGGUGGCUGCAGUCGAGAAUCAUUCACAAUGGGGGAAACCCUGAUGGUGCGACGCCGCGUGGGGGAAUGAAGGUCUUCGGAUUGUAAACCCCUGUCAUGUGGGAGCAAAUUAAAAAGAUAGUACCACAAGAGGAAGAGACGGCUAACUCUGUGCCAACAGCCGCGGUAAUACAGAGGUCUCAAGCGUUGUUCGGAAUCACUGGGCGUAAAGGGUGCGUAGGCUGUUUCGUAAGUCGUGUGUGAAAGGCGCGGGCUCAACCCGCGGACGGCACAUGAUACUGCGAGACUAGAGUAAUGGAGGGGGAACCGGAAUUCUCGGUGUAGCAGUGAAAUGCGUAGAGAUCGAGAGGAACACUCGUGGCGAAGGCGGGUUCCUGGACAUUAACUGACGCUGAGGCACGAAGGCCAGGGGAGCGAAAGGGAUUAGAUACCCUAGUAGUC
rnacentral:rRNA from 1 species